GGCUCCUCAUGGAACGCUGCGCUCCGCCGCCGCCCGCUGCGACGUUCUUUACUCCUCUGCCCCGUCCGUCUGCCGUCGCCCGUCCGCCCCGGGACUGCCAAUGCGCGCUGUGGCGUUCGUCGCCGCGCUGGCCCUGCUGGCAGCCUGCCGGCCGGCCGCCACCUCCUCUUCGCCCAACGGCACGGAGCCGGAGCGGCACGGGGGCCCGGGCCAGCGGGAGCCUGAGGCCCGCGAGGGCGAGGCCGCGUCGGGUCCCGACUACGAGGAGGAUGAGGAGUACGAGGAGGCGCUGCCCGUUCACCAGUACAUCGUGGACGACUUGAUCCGAGUUGAACCUGUGGUUAAACCCAAGCCAACAAAGAGGGGGGGUGAGAAGAAUGCCGGCAAAUCAAGAAGGAAGAAAAACAAAGGGAAAAACAAAAAGAAAGGGACUCCAUGCGAAAUGGAAUACAAAAACUUUUGCAUCCAUGGUGAAUGCGUAUACCUAGAACAUCUCCAGAUGGUGACCUGCAAGUGUCAUCAGGAUUUUUUUGGUGAGCGCUGUGGUGAACAGUUCAUGAAAACUCAAAGGAAGAAUGAUGUGGCAGACUACUCGAAGACUGUGUUGGUAGUGGUAGCUGUCCUGCUCUCGAGCGUCAGCUUCAUUACUGUACUUAUCAUUGUGAUAGUGCAGGUCAGGAAAAAGUGUCCUCAGUAUGAAGAGAAAGAAGAAAGGAAAAAACUUCGACAAGAAAACAGAAAUGGCCAUGUUGGUGUGUAAAUGAGGAGGAAGCAGGUAUGAAAGCUGACUUGAAAUGCCUUCCAGUCCUUCAAGGCUGGAGUUACCAUAUGAGAACUGCAUGCAUGUUUUGCGUAGCUCGUGUUUGCUUCUAAAGCUUGAACCGCCUUGAAACACAUAGGUUACGUGUGAAGGACUGGCUCAGUUUUCUGGUUUCCCGAAACCUUGAGCUGUGUGAAUUCAGCAGUGCUGUUUGCUUUAACACAGCAGCCAAAAAGCUAAAGUGAGGAUAGGAAGCUGUACCGUCAUGGGUGGACUUAGGAAGGAAAAAUCAAACCCUAAUAUCUGGGCAGAGGCAGGUUUAGUGCAAGAAACUAUGGUAGACUUCCAUCAUGGAAGAUGGUGCAGCAGCUAAAAGUGGAUCAUCACCCCAUGUAACAUAAGUACUGAGCAUUUUCAUGUCUUGUCUGCAAGGCAUCGUGAGUUUCGGGUGCUUAGAGAGCUGUAGACCAAGAAGCAGCUGCCAAUUCUGUGAGCACCAUAGGUAGCCUCUCGGUCAAAUUAAAUACUGUCAUAGCAACUGAGUGCUAAAGCUCCUUGGUCUAGGUGCAUCACUCCUGGGAGAGAUCUAGUGGACGUUAAUGAGCAAGCAAGUUGGUAUCUUCUGAGCAAAAGUGUACCUAGCAGCAGACUCGAGGACCCUUAUUGAACAGGAGCUAUACUACAAGCUGAAGGAGGAAACUAUAAAGGAUAGUCUUGAGAAGUUGUGGCAGCACUCGGAAGUUUCGCUUUGCUACAUGUCAGCUACAGACCUUGUCCCAGCUUUGUCCAGUGACAAUUGGAAUAUUUUGCUCAAAGCUGAGGAGUACCUAGCAGAGUGUCCUCAGAGCAGUUCUGAUGUGGCCACUGCUGAGCUGCAGAGUACCUCUGGCUACCUGACACAUCCACCUGGACACUGUGGGCUGGAGCUGUUGCCACUAAGCCCUGAUUCAUCAAGACAGAGGCUGCUGCAAGGAGAUGUCAACAUGCCACUUGCUGGGGAGGACAGCUGCCGUUACAUCUUGGCAGAAGGAUGUGGAAGGAGCUGCCGCUGUGGGGUGGAAGAUCUGCUAGAGGCUACUGCUACUGAGCCCUCUCGAUCAGUGCUGGAGCUCCAGUCUCUGCUGUUGUGUGGAUGGACUUUCUUCUGUUAGCAAGUCUCUUUGGGCAGCCCUAACCCAAAGGGAGAGAGCUUGUUGUGGCUUUCAGGAAUGGAUGGAGGGGAAAAAAUUCCAUUCCCUCUCCCACAGUUAAAAAGGGAAGAGUUCUGGAUGGCUUUUCUCCCUUGACCUCGGUGGAUGAGUAACCUAAUUCUGCUGUCACUGUGCUCCCUGUUGUUAUCAGCUUCCAGCAACUUCAUCUCUAGUUCUGACUUGCAGGGUGUUGGUGACAGAACUUUGUCAGCCACACCUGGGUUCUGUUACUGUAUGUGUGGAAAGUAAUCCCUCUGCAUUCAGUAGGACUUGUUGUGUGAGUGGAGCUAUCGGUUUGCGUGUGUGUUAGCGUGACUUGAAAUUAGUCUCUUUGGGAUGCUGAGACAGUAAAUGCAAGAGCUGAAGCUCUGUAUGUGAAGGAAAUGAUCCCUGCUCAAACAAGCUGAUAAGCGUGGACCCAUCUGUUAAAAACACAAAGCUACUUUGUUACUCGGAUAGACCAUGCUGCUUUAAGCAGCAUUUAAAGUACAAAAUGCUUCACAUCAGAUCCAGUCAGUUGAACUUGACCAAGAUCCUGUUCCUUUGAAGAAUGAAAUUCACACGCUGACACUCUGCAAGCAGUGGUUUCUUGUGCUCUACCUUCUGGUGCAAAGAACUCUACUUACCUCAAACUUUUCUGACCCCAGUGUCCUUGGUUUCUUGAAGUGUCCAUGCAGUCUUGAGCACAGAGUAUUACUUGAGUUGAGCCUCUUCUUGAAAGAGUGAAUGUGUUCUGUAUAAACAGAGCAGAAUUGUUCUGGUAGCAGAGAAACGCCAUUCAUUGUCAAGUCAUAUCUGUAAAUGUGUAAAUAUUUAUUUCUGUAUUUAAUAUUUAAUGUUUCCAUAACAAACUUAUUUAUUUUAUAAUUAAACUUUUUA